GAACGGGUGAGUAACACGUGGGUGAUCUGCCCUGCACUUUGGGAUAAGCCUGGGAAACUGGGUCUAAUACCGAAUAUGAUCAUGCUCUUCAUGGGGUGUGGUGGAAAGCUUUUGCGGUGUGGGAUGGGCCCGCGGCCUAUCAGCUUGUUGGUGGGGUAAUGGCCUACCAAGGCGACGACGGGUAGCCGGCCUGAGAGGGUGACCGGCCACACUGGGACUGAGAUACGGCCCAGACUCCUACGGGAGGCAGCAGUGGGGAAUAUUGCACAAUGGGCGCAAGCCUGAUGCAGCGACGCCGCGUGAGGGAUGACGGCCUUCGGGUUGUAAACCUCUUUCAGCACAGACGAAGCGCGAGUGACGGUAUGUGCAGAAGAAGGACCGGCCAACUACGUGCCAGCAGCCGCGGUAAUACGUAGGGUCCGAGCGUUGUCCGGAAUUACUGGGCGUAAAGAGCUCGUAGGUGGUUUGUCGCGUUGUUCGUGAAAACUCACAGCUUAACUGUGGGCGUGCGGGCGAUACGGGCAGACUUGAGUACUGCAGGGGAGACUGGAAUUCCUGGUGUAGCGGUGGAAUGCGCAGAUAUCAGGAGGAACACCGGUGGCGAAGGCGGGUCUCUGGGCAGUAACUGACGCUGAGGAGCGAAAGCGUGGGGAGCGAACAGGAUUAGAUACCCUGGUAGUCCACGCCGUAAACGGUGGGUACUAGGUGUGGGUUUCCUUCCUUGGGAUCCGUGCCGUAGCUAACGCAUUAAGUACCCCGCCUGGGGAGUACGGCCGCAAGGCUAAAACUCAAAGAAAUUGACGGGGGCCCGCACAAGCGGCGGAGCAUGUGGAUUAAUUCGAUGCAACGCGAAGAACCUUACCUGGGUUUGACAUGCACAGGACGCCAGUAGAGAUAUUGGUUCCCUUGUGGUCUGUGUGCAGGUGGUGCAUGGCUGUCGUCAGCUCGUGUCGUGAGAUGUUGGGUUAAGUCCCGCAACGAGCGCAACCCUUGUCCUAUGUUGCCAGCGGGUUAUGCCGGGGACUCGUAGGAGACUGCCGGGGUCAACUCGGAGGAAGGUGGGGAUGACGUCAAGUCAUCAUGCCCCUUAUGUCCAGGGCUUCACACAUGCUACAAUGGCCGGUACAAAGGGCUGCGAUGCCGUGAGGUGGAGCGNANNNNNGUAAAGCCGGUCUNNNNUCGGAUCGGGGUCUGCAACUCGACCCCGUGAAGUCGGAGUCGCUAGUAAUCGCAGAUCAGCAACGCUGCGGUGAAUACGUUCCCGGGCCUUGACACACCGCCCGUCACGUCAUGAAAGU
rnacentral:rRNA from 1 species